rnacentral:lncRNA from 1 species
UACUGUAGCACAUUAGGAUCAAGAAGUAGAAAAAGGACAGGAGAGAGAAAGCAAGAGAAUAAGAGAAGGAAAUUCUCCUCCCACACUCUCAGAAGAUGUACCAUUUCUGGAUUGCUUCAAACUGAGUGGAACCCAAUAAUUAUGACUUCACAUUUCCAAGAGAACUAAGCCCAGUCCCACACAAAUAGCUGCACUGUUGUAAUAUGCUGCUGGCCACUCAUCCUAAUCCUGAACACGCUAUAAAGAACUGACCCAGCGGGCUACCAGCGCUAAUUCUGGGAAGUGUACAAUUAUGUGCGCGGCCGGGACGUGGAAGCGCCGAGGCGGCUCUGCUGGACAGUCCCGCGCCGGCCGAGCGCUCCCAAGGGAGCCCCUUGAUCUCCUCACGCCUGUCUGAGGCCCUGCACCAGCCAGAGAGAUUAAGGAAAAGUCGCCAAAUGUCAGGACCGAAUACCUGUUUUCAUUUAUUUAGCAUUUGCUUGGCCAUCAAGCUGAGUUUCCAUUACAGAGGUGCAUGAACAGGAUCAGCAUGAAUUCACUUUUCAGAAUAAA